rnacentral:lncRNA from 1 species
GCAUUUUCCUGGCACAUCUUGCUAUCUUUCUUUGUUCCUAAGUCUAUUCUACAGUGUACAGAUGGCAUCAAUGGGCCCUUUCCCAGAGGAAGGCUGGUCAGCAUCUACCUACCCACCCUUCACACUGUUCUUUCUCAAUUCCCUUCAGGUUGGGACCCUAUUCCUGGGUGUCCCCUUACUUAACAUGUCCCAGUGGGUGGGACCCACUAUAGGCUUAGGAAAGCUGUUCUAAACUGUUUGUGGCUCCAUCAAUCCUAAGAGAAAAAGAGCAUGAGGGGAAUGCAAAGAGAAAAGGAGAGACAGGCCCCACAUUGGGGGUGGGUGGGGGUGGUGAGGAGACAGAAGCAAAGGGAGCAGAUUAAUUGAAGGGGGAGGGGGAAGCCAAUGACCCUGUGCUUUUCUCUGAAAAAGCUUUGGUUUUGGUUUUGGUUUUUCCCAGAGUGCUAGGAUUGCAGGCAUGAGCCAUCACAUCACACUCCUAUUUGAAUACCACUCCCUUGGUGCCUACCUCUUUAGGGUUCCUCUCAAAGUCCAGAUUUGGCCAACCAUGGCAAACUUAUUCUAGGCAGUUACUCCACCCCCACCCCCAACCCCCUACUCCACACCCCGAAGCUGUUCUAACCUGGUCUGGGAGAACCCAGUUCCUGGACAAAGCGUCCCCUCCCCCACAGAUGCUCCAGUCUAAGUGGGGCCUAGUGGCCUGCAGGGCCAGAGACACCAUUCGUUCCAAGUAACCCACUGCCCUUCCCCCAAAUUGCUCCAAAUGCAAUUUUUAGUUUUUGCAUUUAUCUUUAGCCUGAUUCAUCCAGCCUCGGGUUCCCAGAGGACCCCGACCUAAAAACCUCAAGUGCAGGUACACCCUGAGCACCAGUUAGGUGACCAUUCACUGCACUUUCAAUGGCCUGCCUGACCUACUACCCCUUAAACCACCUGCCGUCCUGUGCUCUGCCCUCUCCUCUAGUCCGGCUCCAAUGUAGCUCUCUGAAGGACUUCUGAUCUUAACUCCCUUUGAAAACCUUCUCAUCUCUUCCUGUAGGGUAUCUUUCCUUUCUCUGGUCUCCUUGGGGUACUGGAGAAGGCAGGAAGGUUGUAGAUUAUAUAUAGACCCGGAGGGGGGAGGGAAAGUUGCAUACACCCUAGAAAAAUGGGUCUCUGAGUCAAACUAGAUUAGAAACAAUAGUAAAGGCACUGUGAGUGUUCCAUCUUGCACCUCUCUUAAAAUCAGUAGAGGGAUCCCAGGAAAAGCUGGACCUUAUCCCACCUACAUCCCAGCACAGCCAGAAACUCUCUGGGGGUCCUCUCCCUUUCUGUGGAUCUGUUCCUGGGGAAGUCCGAGGGUCCCUAGGGCCUAUUGGGACGAAAAGGUUUGGGAUUGUGAGGUUCUUCGGAUGUACUUAGUCCAGACCCUGGAGCCAGCAAUACCGCACCCCACCCCCUUACCUAAAACCUCAAACCCCAACUCUGUUUUUCCUCCCCACCAAGCACUUGGAAAAAAAAAACUUUUUAAAGUUCCUUCAAGUUGCAUUUGGGGAAAAGAAUCCCCUGCGGACUCUAGGUCUCUUUGCCCCAAUUUUCACUUUUCUUCCCUAGUCUCAGAAGCAUCCCUACUCUUCCCACCCCUGCCAGCUGCCACCCUAGUGCCCAAACUCAAGAAGGAGAAGAUGUCCUAAGCCCAAAACUUAUGGUUGCCCACCCCCAGCCCACAUCCCUCGGAGGGCUGAAGACGGGUCAGAGUUCGCCUGCAAAGAAAGCAGGGUGGAGAAAGGGGAAGAGAGAGAGAGAACCAGAGCCACAAAUUUCCAGACUGAAGCUUUGCGCUCCAGGCCCCGCUCACCUGCUCUGGACAGGCUCCAAUAGAUUUUCGUCCACUCAAAAGUUUGUCCCCUUCGCAAAGGAUUUCCAGGAGAGGCCCACAUUUGACUCUGGGGGUGGGGGUGAGGAGCCCGGGAGGGCGCAGACGCCUGAUCUAAAGCGACCGGGGGAAGCGGGGCGCGUGUGACCGUCCCCAAAGUAAGGGCGAAGCGGCGAUCCACAGAGCAUCCGAGAGAGCCCCCUUGGUUGCUAGCCCCGGGACGUCCCCGGGACGGCCCUAGGACGGCCCCAGACUACAGAGUGCUAACGCAGGGGUGGAGAACACCGGGCAGCUGAAAGGAAGGAUAGAAAGGAUUGUGGCGACGUCCGUGGUGUCCUCCAAUUUCUGCCCCGGCGGGUGUGCCCCAGCCCACAACAUUCCCUGGACUCCUUCUGGGAAGCGCUCAGGACCCUCACUUGUCGGAAAGGGAGGAUGAGGGUCCC